GGUUUAUUGGUUCUGUUUCAAAUUACGCAAUUGACAGACACGAGAAACCAGCGUGUAUAAAUGAGAAGAAUUAUCUAAUUUGUUACCAAUUCGAGUUGAUUACUGCUACGUGCUACCUUACAUUGAAUCAUGCUCAAUCUGGCAAAGAUAUCUAUGCCCAAUCUUCAGCAGCUAUUGUUGGUGUGCUUUAUCAUUUAUACUUUAGCGGUUGGUGACUGGUAUCCCGGCAAAAAAGACAACGAUGACGACAAGAAAAACUAAUGAAAUUUGAAACGGUAGCCUACAGUAGGCUACACGAAUCGUAUUAUAUGAAUUAUUCUACAUAUUAUAGAUAUGAAAAAAUAAAGCCAAUUUACUGAUAA